CCUCUCUCGGUUAGCUCCAUAGA
rnacentral:miRNA from 1 species